rnacentral:rRNA from 1 species
UUCUUUUAGGUUUUAUUUAAGGUAAUUUCUGCCCUAUGAAAUUUAUUUAAAUGGCUGCAGUAUAUUAACUGUACAAAGGUAGCAUAAUAAUUAGUUUUUUAAUUGAGGACUAGAAUGAAAGGAUAUAUGAGGGAUUUAUUUUAUUUAUUAAAACAUUAUAAUUUAAUAUUUUGGUAAAAAAGCUAAAUUGUAUUUUAGGGACGAGAAGACCCUAUAGAACUUUCAAUUGAUAAUUUAUUUUUAUUAUUUAGUUUAAUUUUUAUAUAAAUUGGUUUUAAUUUUUAAUUGGGGUGAUUGGUAAAUUUAAUUAACUUUAUUUUUUGUAUUCAUUUAUAAAUGAUUUUUUUGAUCUCUUUUUUAGGAUUUAAAGAAAAGUUACCUUAGGGAUAACAGCGUAAUUUUAAUUAAAAGUUCUUAUUUAUGUUAAAGUUUGCGACCUCGAUGUUGAAUUAAGGUUAAAUUAAGGUGUAGUUGCUUUAGGUUUUAGUCUGUUCGACUAUUAAAAUCUUACA